AGUGAACGCUGGCGGUAGGCCUAACACAUGCAAGUCGAACGGCAGCACAGUAAGAGCUUGCUCUUACGGGUGGCGAGUGGCGGACGGGUGAGGAAUACAUCGGAAUCUACUUUUUCGUGGGGGAUAACGUAGGGAAACUUACGCUAAUACCGCAUACGACCUACGGGUGAAAGCAGGGGAUCUUCGGACCUUGCGCGAUUGAAUGAGCCGAUGUCGGAUUAGCUAGUUGGCGGGGUAAAGGCCCACCAAGGCGACGAUCCGUAGCUGGUCUGAGAGGAUGAUCAGCCACACUGGAACUGAGACACGGUCCAGACUCCUACCGGAGGCAGCAGUGGGGAAUAUUGGACAAUGGGCGCAAGCCUGAUCCAGCCAUACCGCGUGGGUGAAGAAGGCCUUCGGGUUGUAAAGCCCUUUUGUUGGGAAAGAAAAGCAGCAGGUUAAUACCCCGCUGUUCUGACGGUACCCAAAGAAUAAGCACCGGCUAACUUCGUG
rnacentral:rRNA from 1 species